rnacentral:tRNA from 1 species
ACCUGGCUGGCUAAGUCAGUAGAGCAUGUGACUCUUAAUCUUGGGGUCAUGAGUUUGAGCUUCAUGUUAGGCA